rnacentral:rRNA from 1 species
AUCUAAGUACCCCGAGGAAAAGAAAUCAACCGAGAUUCCGAAAGUAGCGGCGAGCGAAAUUGGACUAGCCCUUAAGCUUUACACGCGUUAGACGAACAGCCUGGAAAGGCCGACGAUACAGGGUGAUAGUCCCGUAGUUGACGACGUGUGUUCAGUGAAAUCGAGUAGGGCGGGACACGUGAUAUCCUGUCUGAAUAUGGGGGGACCAUCCUCCAAGGCUAAAUACUACUGACUGACCGAUAGUGAACCAGUACCGUGAGGGAAAGGCGAAAAGAACCCCUGUGAGGGGAGUGAAAUAGAACCUGAAACCGUGUACGUACAAGCAGUAGGAGCAGGCUUUGUCCUGUGACUGCGUACCUUUUGUAUAAUGGGUCAGCGACUUAUAUUCAGUGGCAAGGUUAACCAUCUAGGGGAGCCGUAGGGAAACCGAGUCUUAACUGGGCGUUCAGUCUCUGGAUAUAGACCCGAAACCAGGUGAUCUAGCCAUGGGCAGGUUGAAGGUUGAGUAACAUCAACUGGAGGACCGAACCGACUAAUGUUGAAAAAUUAGCGGAUGACUUGUGGCUAGGGGUGAAAGGCCAAUCAAACCUGGAGAUAGCUGGUUCUCCCCGAAAGCUAUUUAGGUAGCGCCUCGGACGAAUACUACUGGGGGUAGAGCACUGUUAAGGCUAGGGGGUCAUCCCGACUUACCAACCCUUUGCAAACUCCGAAUACCAGUAAGUACUAUCCGGGAGACACACGGCGGGUGCUAACGUCCGUCGUGGAGAGGGAAACAACCCAGACCGCCAGCUAAGGUCCCAAAUUACUACUAAGUGGGAAACGAUGUGGGAAGGCUCAGACAGCCAGGAUGUUGGCUUAGAAGCAGCCAUCAUUUAAAGAAAGCGUAAUAGCUCACUGGUCGAGUCGGCCUGCGCGGAAGAUGUAACGGGGCUAAGUAGUAAACCGAAGCUGCGGCAAUAUACUUUUGUAUAUUGGGUAGGGGAGCGUUCUGUAAGCGGUUGAAGGUGUGUGGUAACGCAUGCUGGACGUAUCAGAAGUGCGAAUGCUGACAUGAGUAACGAUAAAGGGGGUGAAAAACCUCCUCGCCGGAAGACCAAGGGUUCCUGUCCAACGUUAAUCGGGGCAGGGUAAGUCGACCCCUAAGGCGAGGCCGAAAGGCGUAGUCGAUGGGAAACGGGUUAAUAUUCCCGUACUUCUUACAAUUGCGAUGGGGGGACGGAGAAGGCUAGGUGGGCCUGGCGACGGUUGU